rnacentral:lncRNA from 1 species
UUACCAGGACCCUGUCUCCCAAAGCUCGGUGAGGCGCCUGGUCAUCCCCCAGGAUGUGGGAGGCCGAGGCUGGGAGCAGAGGGCGGCCCGCACCUGCCACAGGGCUGAUCUAGGCUGGGGCUGGGAUUGGAAUUCCAUCCCCAGGUGCCCCCGACAUGAGGGGGAAAAACCUCCCAGCAAUUCUCAUUGCAAGAUGGUAAACCUGUCGCCCUAAUGAACAGCUUUCAUUUAGAACCCAGCGAGAAGGGGCGCACCGGGAGACGGCAGCUUUGUUGACUGCGAUGUUUCCAAAUCACUUGCUCAACCUGCAGCGUUCCCAUGGAGCUUGGAGCGCCCAGCAUAGGGCUUUAUUGUUGUUUUGAGGCAAGAAAGAAGUUUUCAGAAGCCA